rnacentral:tRNA from 1 species
UUCUAGGUGGCCGAGGAGUUAGGCUUUAAACUUUUAAUUUAAAAACGAUCAUUUGAUCCCUAGAAU